rnacentral:lncRNA from 10 species
UGAGGGGCACAGAGAAGGCACCAUGGUCUGCACUGGCCAGCAGCUCACCCUGAACCAACACUACCUCCAGUGCAACACACACACAGCAGGGGAGCCCUGGCCCACACCCCAGCUGUCUUGCCUCCACCACUGGGUGAACGCCCGCAGGGAGGAAGGGAAUUUUGCAUCCACUAGCAUUCCGCCACAGUUGCCACACUUCGGUCCCCUCAGUGCAGUGGACUCCAAACCUCGAGGAGCCAGAGAACAAAGUUGGGGCCUAAGACAAGUUCCCUAGAGUUAAAGCACACAGUCCAGGAAUUGGGAGCUGCACAUUGGCCUCCCCAAAAUCCUCCAAAAACAAAGCCAGUUGGUUGAAUCCACCUUAUACCACAAUGAAACCCUCAAGAUCAUCAAAUACAAUAAAACAAAAAUACCCUGUCCGAAGGUCAGCAACCUCAAAGAUGGAAGGUGGAUAAGCCCAUAAAGAUGAGAAAGAAUCUGUGUGAGAACACUGAAAACUCAAAAAGUCAGCAUGCCUUCUUUCCUCCAAAUGACUGCAUCAACUCUCCAGCAAGUGUUCAGAACUGGGCUGAGGCUGAGAUGUCUGGAAUGAUACAAGCAGGGUUCAGGAUAUGCGUAGGAACAAAGUUCACUGAGUGAAAGAAGUAUGUUGUCAUGCAAUACAAGUGAGCUAAAAAUCAUUGUAAAACAUUGCAGGAGCUAACAGACAAAAUAGCAAGUAUAAAGAAGACAUAACCGACCUAAUAGAGCUGAAAAGCACACUACAAGAAUUUUCAUAAUGGAGUCACAUGGUGAUUAUGUGUGAUUGCAUUAUGAAAAUUAUUGUAGUGUGUGUGGGCACCCGAUAUUGCCCUGUAAGCAGGUGUGGCCAGGCUGGGG